rnacentral:rRNA from 1 species
GACGAACGCUGGCGGCGUGCUUAACACAUGCAAGUCGAACGGAAAGGCCCUGCUUUUGUGGGGUGCUCGAGUGGCGAACGGGUGAGUAACACGUGAGUAACCUGCCCUUGACUUUGGGAUAACUUCAGGAAACUGGGGCUAAUACCGGAUAGGAGCUCCUGCUGCAUGGUGGGGGUUGGAAAGUUUCGGCGGUUGGGGAUGGACUCGCGGCUUAUCAGCUUGUUGGUGGGGUAGUGGCUUACCAAGGCUUUGACGGGUAGCCGGCCUGAGAGGGUGACCGGCCACAUUGGGGCUGAGAUACGGCCCAGACUCCUACGGGAGGCAGCAGUGGGGAAUAUUGCACAAUGGGCGGAAGCCUGAUGCAGCAACGCCGCGUGCGGGAUGACGGCCUUCGGGUUGUAAACCGCUUUCGCCUGUGACGAAGCGUGAGUGACGGUAAUGGGUAAAGAAGCACCGGCUAACUACGUGCCAGCAGCCGCGGUGAUACGUAGGGUGCGAGCGUUGUCCGGAUUUAUUGGGCGUAAAGGGCUCGUAGGUGGUUGAUCGCGUCGGAAGUGUAAUCUUGGGGCUUAACCCUGAGCGUGCUUUCGAUACGGGUUGACUUGAGGAAGGUAGGGGAGAAUGGAAUUCCUGGUGGAGCGGUGGAAUGCGCAGAUAUCAGGAGGAACGCCAGUGGCGAAGGCGGUUCUCUGGGCCUUUCCUGACGCUGAGGAGCGAAAGCGUGGGGAGCGAACAGGCUUAGAUACCCUGGUAGUCCACGCUGUAAACGGUGGGUACUAGGUGUGGGGUCCAUUCCACGGGUUCCGUGCCGUAGCUAACGCUUUAAGUACCCCGCCUGGGGAGUACGGCCGCAAGGCUAAAACUCAAAGGAAUUGGCGGGGCCCCGCACAAGCGGCGGAGCAUGCGGAUUAAUUCGAUGCAACGCGUAGAACCUUACCUGGGUUUGACAUGGAUCGGGAGUGCUCAGAGAUGGGUGUGCCUCUUUUGGGGUCGGUUCACAGGUGGUGCAUGGCUGUCGUCAGCUCGUGUCGUGAGAUGUUGGGUUAAGUCCCGCAACGAGCGCAACCCUUGUUCACUGUUGCCAGCACGUUAUGGUGGGGACUCAGUGGAGACCGCCGGGGUCAACUCGGAGGAAGGUGGGGAUGACGUCAAGUCAUCAUGCCCCUUAUGUCCAGGGCUUCACGCAUGCUACAAUGGCUGGUACAGAGAGUGGCGAGCCUGUGAGGGUGAGCGAAUCUCGGAAAGCCGGUCUCAGUUCGGAUUGGGGUCUGCAACUCGACCUCAUGAAGUCGGAGUCGCUAGUAAUCGCAGAUCAGCAACGCUGCGGUGAAUACGUUCCCGGG